rnacentral:rRNA from 1 species
AUCUACAGCCAUACAAUCCUGAAUGUGCCUGAUCUUGUCUGAUCUUGAAAGCUAAGCAGAGUCAGGCGUGGUAGGUA